rnacentral:lncRNA from 1 species
GGCCCACAAUAAAGUGCACAGGUGAAUUAAAUAAAACAAUAAUAAAAUUCGUGUUUUCAUGAUCAUUGCUAAAAAAAUAUAAUUAUAAGUAUUGAAUGCUUCUUUUUGUAACUUCAUAGGGUUGUAAAAGCGUUGACCGUGCGCACAUUUUUAGUAUGAAGCGCGGAAGCGCUUCAUACAAAAUGUACUUCGGUCAACGCUUUUACACCCCAAUGAAGUUACAAAAAGAAGCAUUCAAUUCUUAAGUAA